rnacentral:rRNA from 1 species
UGGGGAAUUUUGGACAAUGGGCGCAAGCCUGAUCCAGCCAUGCCGCGUGCGGGAAGAAGGCCUUCGGGUUGUAAACCGCUUUGUCAGGGAAGAAAUCUUCUGAGUUAAUACCUCGGGAGGAUGACGGUACCUGAAGAAUAAGCACCGGCUAACUACGUGCCAGCAGCCGCGGUAAUACGUAGGGUGCAAGCGUUAAUCGGAAUUACUGGGCGUAAAGCGUGCGCAGGCGGUUUUGUAAGACAGAGGUGAAAUCCCCGGGCUCAACCUGGGAACUGCCUUUGUGACUGCAAGGCUUGAGUGCGGCAGAGGGGGAUGGAAUUCCGCGUGUAGCAGUGAAAUGCGUAGAUAUGCGGAGGAACACCGAUGGCGAAGGCAAUCCCCUGGGCCUGCACUGACGCUCAUGCACGAAAGCGUGGGGAGCAAACAGGAUUAGAUACCCUGGUAGUCCACGCCCUAAACGAUGUCAACUGGUUGUUGGGAAGGUUCCUUCUCAGUAACGUAGCUAACGCGUGAAGUUGACCGCCUGGGGAGUACGGCCGCAAGGUUGAAACUUAAAUGAAUUGACGGGGUCAUAGCUGUUUCCUG